CUGACAAUCACGGUGGAAAUUGAAGAGACA
rnacentral:piRNA from 1 species